rnacentral:rRNA from 1 species
UACGUAGGGUGCAAGCGUUGUCCGGAAUUAUUGGGCGUAAAGAGCUCGUAGGCGGUUUGUCGCGUCUGCUGUGAAAUCCCAGGGCUUAACCCUGGGCCUGCAGUGGGUACGGGCAAACUAGAGUGCGGUAGGGGAGAUCGGAAUUCCUGGUGUAGCGGUGAAAUGCGCAGAUAUCGGGAGGAACACCGGUGGCGAAGGCGGUUCUCUGGGCCUUACCUGACGCUGAGGAGCGAAAGCGUGGGGAGCGAACAGG